CCUACGGGAGGCUGCAGUGAGGAAUAUUGGUCAAUGGACGAGAGUCUGAACCAGCCAAGUAGCGUGAAGGAUGACUGCCCUAUGGGUUGUAAACUUCUUUUAUAUGGGAAUAAAACGUUCCACGUGUGGGAUUUUGUAUGUACCAUAUGAAUAAGGAUCGGCUAACUCCGUGCCAGCAGCCGCGGUAAUACGGAGGAUCCGAGCGUUAUCCGGAUUUAUUGGGUUUAAAGGGAGCAUAGUGGGAUUGUUAAGUCAGUUGUGAAAGGUUGCGGCUCAACCGUAAAAUUGCAGUUGAAACUGGCAGUCUUGAGUACAGUAGAGGUGGGCGGAAGUCGUGGUGUAGCGGUGAAAUGCUUAGAUAUCACGAAGAACGCCGAUUGCGAAGGCAGUUCACUGGACUGCAACUGACACUGAGGCUCGAAAGUGUGGGUAUCAAACAGGAUUAGAUACCCGAGUAGUC
rnacentral:rRNA from 1 species